ensembl:lncRNA
GGGGUUCGGGUUCGGUUUGGAUUCGGACGAAUUCGGGAAGCGUUCGGGUCGAGUUCGGAAGGGGAUCGGCUCCAGUUCCGGGUUGUUCGGCUCGAGUUCGGAGACACUCGGGAGGUGUUCGGGGCGACUUCCGGGCGAGUUCGGGGGCGUUCGGGUCGAGUUCGGGGCGACUUCCGGCCGAGUUCGGGGGUGUUGGGAGCGACUUCCGGUCGAGUUCGGGAGGACUCGGGCCGCACUCGGGUCGGGUUCCGAGCUGUUCCGGCAGCGUUCGGCUCCGAGUUCCGGAAGGGUUUGCAGCGCACUCGGGUCGAGUUCGGGUGGGCUCAGGUCCGGUUCCGGGUUGUUCGGCUCGAGUUCGGAAGGACUCGGGAGGUGUUGGGAGCGACUUCCGGUCGAGUUCGGGGGCGUUCGGAGCGACUUCCGGGAGAGUUCGGAGCGGCUCGGGCAGCGUUCGGGUCGAGUUCCGGGGUGUUGGAGGCGACUUCCGGUCGAGAUCGGGGGCGUUCGGGUCGAGUUCGGGGGGACUCGGGUCGAGUUCGGGUGCAGUUCCGGGGUGUUCGUGACGCACUCGGGUUGAGUUCGGGGAGACUUCCGGUCGUGUUCGGGCAGAUUCGGGCUCCGUUCGGAUCGACUUCCGGGGCGUUCGGCUCCGAGUUCCGGGGUGUUCGUGACGCACUGGGGUCGGGUUUGGGGGGGGGCUCGGGCUUCACUCGGGUCGACUUCCGGGAACUCCGGAAGGACUCGGGGCGACUUCCGGUCGAGUUCGGGGGGACUCGGGCUGCGUUCAGCUCCGAGUUCCGGGCUGUUCGGCUUGAGUUCGGGCCGCACUCGGGUCGAGUUCGGGAGCAAUCGGAGGGAGUUCGGGUCGAGUUCGGGGUGCGCUCGGGAAGCGCUCGGGUUCGAAUCGGAGGCGUUCGGGUCCCUUCCGGUGGCGCUCGGAGGUGUUCGGGGGACGGUUGGGGAGCGCUCGGAAGCGUUCGGGUCCAGUUCGGCUCGCCUUCGGGGCGGCUCGGAGGGGCAGUCGGGGCCACUCGGAAGCGCUCGGGGUGCCUUCGGAUCGCAUUCGGAGGCAUUCGGAGUGCGAUCGGGGAGCGCUCGGGUCGAGUUCGGGUCGGUUCGGGAGGCGCUCGGGCUGCAAUCGGAGGCGUUCGGGUCUCGUCCGGGGCCGCUCGGAAGAGUUCGGGUCGAGUUCGGCUGUCGUUCGGGGAGCACUCGGAGGAGUUCGGCUCUCGUUCGGGAGGCGCUCGGAAACGCUCGGGUCGGGUUCGGAAACGCUCGGGAUGCGCUCGGAGGUGUUCGGGGACACUCGGAGGCGUUCGGGUGAAGGAAACGGACGGGAUCCGAAGUGUGGGGGACCGGAAGUGAUGGGAAAACCGGAAGUGAAGGGAAUAAGGCGGAACACUCGGAGGCGUUCGGGUGAAGGAAACGGACGGGAUCCGAAGUGUGGGGGACCGGAAGUGAUGGGAAAACCGGAAGUGAAGGGAAUAAGGCGGAAGGAGGACCCUAAUUAGGAUCUUAAAGUCAUUAAGUUUGGAGAAGGCUUCCAGAGAACAUGCCAGGAGCCUAAUUAGCAACGUGGGGUAAUUAGGGUGGGAGAAGACUGGCGAUUUGGCAGCCAUGGGUCUCAAUUGAGUUCAAUGGAUCCUUAUUUGGCAGCUGUUGGUCUCUAUUGAGCGCAGUGGAUCCCUAUUUGGCAGCCAUGGGUCUCUAUUGACCACAAUAGAUCCCUAUUUGGCAGCUAUGGGUCUAUAUUAGGAGUAAUGGAUCCCUAUUUGGCAGCCGUGGGUCUCUAUUGAGAGUAUUGGAUCCCUAUUUGGCAACCAUGGGGUCUGUGUUGGACUGAAUGGAUCAAUAUUUGGCAACCAUGGGUCUGUGUUGGACUUAAUGGAUCCCCAUUUGGCAGCCAUGGGUCUCAAUUGAGAGUAAUGGAUCAAUAUUUGGCAGCUAUGGGUCUCUAUUGGGAUCAAUGGAUCCCUAUUUGGCAGCCAUGGUUCUCUAUUGGAAGCUAUGGAUCAAUAUUUGGCAGCUGUGGGUCUAUAUUGGGAUUAAUGGAUCCCUAUUUGGCAGCUAUGGGGCUGGAUUGGGAUCAAUGGAUCCCAAUUUGGCAGCCAUGAGUCUCUUUUGGAAGCUAUGGAUCCCUAUUUGGCAGCCCUUGGUCCAUAUGAGGGUCAAUGGAUCUUUAUUUGGCAGCCAUGGGGUCUGUAUUGGACUCAAUGGAUCCCUAUUUGGCAACGAUGGGUCCAUAGGAAGAAUAAUGGAUCCCUAUUUGGCAACCAUGGGUGUCUAUUGAUCACGAUGGAUCCCUAUUUGGCAGCCGUGAAUCACUUACUUCCUGGUAGUCACAGGCCUGAAUUUGGUAGCCAUGGGUCCAUAUUUUGGUUGACUUCCUGCGGUUCCCCCGUGCUUAAUUAGCGGGGUUAAUUAAGCGAACGUUCGUUAAAUAAAUGAGUUUUUCUUUGCA